CGGAGACCUUGAAACGACGACGGCCACGACAUCCUGGAUUUCUUCAAGCCGGGUCGAUGCCCCGUGUCCACUGCCGCGUGGUGGAGCGGAGACAACGCCGCCUGGUUCUGCUGCCUCCACAGAUGUUUGGGCGCUUUUGCACCUCCACCGGCUCCGCUACCGGCGACCACAGGCGCCGUUCCCACUUUGCCACAGAAACAGAUUUGACGUAGCCAAGAUAACUGAAUCCAUUUACUCAUCACUUAUCGGAGCCCUAAAACUGCCGCUGGAAAGGAAAAGUAUCCCUGAGUGAAGCUAUAGGAGGAGAACCUGUCUCAGUUUGAUUUCCAAAUACUCCUUUUUCUGUCCGUGCACGCCCAUUCAAGGUGCUUGUGUGAUUGCGGCAGGGUUUCGGAUAUUUCGAAAUAUUCAGCAUUUACAGGACAGUCCACAAGAGCGGAUAAUCUCUCCCGAAUUAUACAAACUUCAACAAAGCCCCGCGGUUGUACAGUAACUUUACGCACGUUAUGCGUAAAACCAGACAUGAGGUAAGGCAGUCUCAACAGUUCUUCCCCUCUCAAGUCCUCUGCAGGAUCCAGCAGCCACGAAAUAUAGGAAACAACACGAUAAAUUAAACAUGAGAGACCCACCCCAAGGCACCUCCUCUGAAUCCUCCAUGAGUGAAAGGACGUGGGAGAGGGCAGAAACCAGGUAGCCAAAUGUAAUAACA